rnacentral:tRNA from 1 species
ACCUGGCUGGCUCAGUCAGUGGGAGCAUGAGACUCUUAAUCUCGGGGUCAUGAGUUCAAGCCCUAUAUUUGGUG